CCUACGGGAGGCAGCAGUGGGGAAUAUUGCACAAUGGGGGAAACUCUGAUGCAGCGACGCCGCGUGAGUGAAGAAGUAAUUCGUUAUGUAAAGCUCUAUCAGCAGGGAAGAAAAUGACGGUACCUGAGUAAGAAGCCCCGGCUAACUACGUGCCAGCAGCCGCGGUAAUACGUAGGGGGCAAGCGUUAUCCGGAUUUACUGGGUGUAAAGGGAGCGUAGACGGCAGUGCAAGUCUGGAGUGAAAGGCGGGGGCUCAACCCCCGGACUGCUCUGGAAACUGUGGCGCUGGAGUACGGGAGGGGCAGGCGGAAUUCCUGGUGUAGCGGUGAAAUGCGUAGAGAGCAGGAGGAACACCGGCGGCGAAGGCGGCCUGCUGGACCGUGACUGACGUUGAGGCUCGAGAGCGUGGGGAGCAAACAGGAUUAGAUACCCUAGUAGUC
rnacentral:rRNA from 1 species